rnacentral:lncRNA from 1 species
CCUCUGAGAUCAGAUUUAACUACACGUCAUCAAAGAAAAUCCUACUAACUCUAGCCAGUGUUAAACAGAGUUUGUAGCCUCUCUCUCUCUCUCCCUGGUCUGAUAGUUGGAUUAGAGGUUUAUUCCUACUAACUCUAGCCAGUGUUAAACAGAGUUGUAGCCCCUCUCUCUCUCCCCCUGGUCUGAUA